GACACAACAAGGAACGAAAAUGGGCAUGUUCUGCUCAAGCUUGUGCCAGAUGGUUCCUUGCCCUUACUUUGGCCCGCAACCCACAACUAGCGUCGGACCGUAAACCUGGUGGUGUUAAAGCACCUCAACCUGUUCAAGGCGGUUGUGUCGAACAUGGCGACGUCAAAAUUGAAGUUGGUCGGUAUGGGUUAAUACAAGAUAAGUGAAUGAUAUACAUCAAUACAGUAAAAACCCACAUACAGUAAAAGAAUAACUAUUUUUUAUAUCAGGGUGAAGUUCUUUUAUGAUAGUAGCCUGCGCACAUUCUCAUGACAUCGAUCAAACGUUGUAAGAGACUGCGCAACAAUGAAGCAAAGCUUGCGGGAGAAAAAUAAUUUUCGCAAGAAAAUUAGUACGUUGAUUAUGCGGAAACGUUCAUAUGCAUGUCAACAGAUAGCUUAAGAUCUACGACGUCGAUGUCAGCUAGGACGUCGGGGCUGAGCAGAGGACUGGGACUAAAUAAGUCGAUAGCUCAAGUAUCUACGACGUCAAAUAUUUAGAGCGGCAAGGAGAAGUAAAUUGGUAAUAGUUUUUGAAGUGUGCAUGUGUCUCUCUCAAUUUUCGAGCCCAUCACUCUUGUGAAUCUACUCUAAUUAGUCUAAUAUUGAUC